rnacentral:rRNA from 1 species
GACGAACGCUGGCGGCGUGCCUAAUACAUGCAAGUAGGACGCUGAAGGAGGAGCUUGCUUCUCUGGAUGAGUUGCGAACGGGUGAGUAACGCGUAGGUAACCUGCCUGGUAGCGGGGGAUAACUAUUGGAAACGAUAGCUAAUACCGCAUAAGAGUAGAUGUUGCAUGACAUUUACUUAAAAGGUGCAAUUGCAUCACUACCAGAUGGACCUGCGUUGUAUUAGCUAGUUGGUGAGGUAACGGCUCACCAAGGCAACGAUACAUAGCCGACCUGAGAGGGUGAUCGGCCACACUGGGACUGAGACACGGCCCAGACUCCUACGGGAGGCAGCAGUAGGGAAGCUUCGGCAAUGGACGGAAGUCUGACCGAGCAACGCCGCGUGAGUGAAGAAGGUUUUCGGAUCGGAAAGCUCUGUUGUAAGAGAAGAACGAGUGUGAGAGUGGAAAGUUCACACUGUGACGGUAGCUUACCAGAAAGGGACGGCUAACUACGUG